GGAAUAUUACUACUACAUGCCAAAAGAAUAUGCAGUAUGCAAGUUUUACAUGUAGAUCUUGCUGAUGUUAUAUCAUGCAUUUAUGUGUUUUAGUUGUGAUGAAUAUCAGAUGAUCAUAACAGAUUUCAUAAGAAACUCAUUGUUGCUGCAUAUAGCAUGUGGUUCUCCUGAUGUGUUUGCUCUUAAAAUUAAUCCAUAUGGUUGACUUACAUUACAAUUGUUUUUCUUAGGAAUUGCUGUGAUCAAUUGAUAAUCGAGUUUGGCUCAUUGUUUGAUCUGCUCAGCAUAUCGGCUCUGCGACUAAGGUGCACUUUGCACUUUCUUCUAUGUAGGUUCAGUUACUUGUGCUUGGAUUUUGUAUGUUUAUUCACACUUCUUUUCCUUGUGCCGUUUUUGAUAUUUGUGCGUGUCAAGAAGCAGGGAACAUGAAUUCCAUUGAUCCUGAUGUGGAUCAUGUUGCUGCACGUAGUCGUUCUGUUUCUCGACACCGUAACAGAGUAGCAGCACGUCUCGCCCUGUUCCAAAGUGCGAUACGGUUUGCCAUGAUCGUAGGUUACUCUUGUCCUUAGAAUAUUACGUUGUGUGUGAUGUGAAUUUAUGUGUAAAUCACCUGUUUAGGCGCUUAGAAUUUUGUACCUGUCUCAUCAUCCUCUGGUGCAAACAGUACAUUUGUAGGUACGGGCCAUCAGUAUUCUAAUUUGUGCCUAUUAAGGUAGUACCCUUUUAACACAUAUUGCACCGUAGGCGGUGGUUUCUUUCUGGUUGUGUCGCAUACAUACAGCCAGUUAAGACGGCGUCAGCGAAUGCAAAAGAGAAAAAUGCAUGUAUGGCGUCAGACAGGUUACCCCUACCAGACUACAUCUACCACACACUCUGUUUUCUUCUGAUUACACAGAGUUCUUAAAAGGUAUCUUUGUGAUCAAAGGUCAUAUGCCUUAGGAGUAAAAACUGUAGGGUAAUGCACUUUUUUCAUAUUGAGUUGUUUCUUGAACACAAAUCCUUGCGAGAGGGAGAGUUUCUAUUGCGGGCAAGGAAUCAGAUCUUCAUGUGACCACACAUUCAUUCAAACAAGGUUCGUUGCGGGGCAGUGAAGAACUGAAAUAGCUGAAGAGAACAUUAGGAAGUGAUGCUAGAAGCUUGCUUGUGUGCUACCUGUUGUUGUGAUUCGAAAGAAUUUGCAUGUUCUCACUGAAUGGAAAAAAGAGGCACUAUGGUGAGAGUUGACUAAAUAUAGAGUUUUGAAUCCCUUUACCAUAUUAGUUUAAAUAUUCUUUUCCUGAGCCAGUGAUUAAUCAAUGCCAAAGCUG